rnacentral:piRNA from 1 species
UAGGACUGCUGUGAGUCACUGCGAUGGC